AAUAUUGGACAAUGGGGGCAACCCUGAUCCAGCAACGCCGCGUGAGGGAUGAAGGUCUUUGGAUUGUAAACCUCUUUUCUCAGGGAAGAGCGAGGACGGUACCUGAGGAAUAAGUCACGGCUAACUACGUGCCAGCAGCCGCGGUAAUACGUAGGGGGCAAGCGUUGUCCGGAAUUAUUGGGCGUAAAGGGUGCGUAGGCGGCCUUUUAAGUCAGGUGUGAAAGCCCACGGCUUAACCGUGGGAUUGCAUUUGAAACUGGAAGGCUUGAGUAUCGGAGAGGGUAGUGGAAUUCCCAGUGUAGCGGUGGAAUGCGUAGAUAUUGGGAGGAACACCAGUGGCGAAGGCGACUACCUGGACGAAAACUGACGCUGAGGCACGAAAGCUAGGGGAGCAAAC
rnacentral:rRNA from 1 species